UUUACGUGAUGAAUAACUUUUUACCAUCUUUCGACUGAAAAUUGUUGAUGUCAACUUAAUUUACUGAUUUGUCUU